CCUAAUGUAAAAAAAAAUUGAAAUUAGAAAGAAAAUAUGAAUAUUGAUUUAUAUAUAAAUGCUAAUUACCACAAUCGUCUCUCGACGUAAGUCUUCACUUAGUUCCUUUAGUAUAUCCGGCAUCUGUUUUCUAAUGGCCUCUUGAACUGCCCGAUCAAAGUCUUCUUUACUUUUUUGUUGUUGAAUUUCUAUAUAAUUCGUCGUUGUGUUCUGUGAAGUCGCCAUAUUAUCAGGAAUUGGUAAUGGCAUUGGAUCACUUGCUCUGGUUCCAAGCACACGACCUUUGUUUUUUCCGUUAGUAGCUUUGACCCAUAAUUCUAAAUUAUCAGGGAGUGUGUGUGAUCCAUUAGAUGAGUUGAUCUCAGAAUUUUCUGCUUCCAUAGCAUUUCUUUGAAGCUCAUUAUAGUCAGCCUAUAAAAAUGAAAAUCAAUAAUAAAUAAAAAAUAUGACUUAAAUAUCUUAAAACGAAGCAUUUCUAACGAAUUUUCUUACAAUAAAGCAUCCUCCCUUUGGAUGGGCCCAGUCGUUUGUCUUAGCCAAACUAUGUGUUUUCUUAUAAACCUCACAGUGACCGACUUCAUAACCAACUUCUUCAUUCUGAUUGUUAUACUCAAAAAAUUAGAAUGAUAAAUGUAAAAUAUAUGAAAGAAAUGUUUUUUUACCAUUCUUUCAUGAGUGGCCGCAACUGAACAAGAUCCACCCGUGUAUGGCAUGUAAUCUGAAUUGUUUGUCCUAUUUUCUGAUGUUUUUUCGGAUCCUUUUUCCAAUCUUCUUUUAACCAAAUUUCAAUCAUUUCACUCCAUACUUCCGCAGAUAGGUAUAUCGGUGGAAAUCUAGCGCAAGAUCUGAUCAGUGUGUCAACUUUUGCCAAUUUCUUUGCCUCUUGUCUCGCUUUAUACAACCAACAUGUAUAAUUUAAUUGUACAUAAUUAUCAAAACAUUCACGAGCCAAUUGAAUGUCCUCAAAUGAGAAAUAGCACUACAUAAAGACGAAAACAUUACAUAUGGAAAAAAAUGACAUAUGGAAAAAAUGACAAAUAAAUAAAUAAAUCAUACCAGAAAUUUGACGAAAAUAUUUUCCUUUUCCUCUUCUUUCCAAGAAGUCCAUUUAGUUAAAGGUGACGUUAUAUUACAUUUUACUAAUAUUCCUAUUUGACUUCUGACAUUGUUUGUAAAAGUCCUAUAAAAAACAAUCAAAUUAAAUAAUAAAAUAUAAUGAAUUAUAAUGAAAAUACUCACCCGCUCUUAAGAAUAGUGGCGGGAGUUGGUGCAUCCGGUUGUCUCAAUCCUUUUGUCCAUUUUCUUCGAUGUUCUUCAUCGAAGCGGUCCUCUACGAUUUCUUGAUCUAUUCUUGCAGAUUGUGAUCGUCCGUCGUUUGUUCGUUUACGACUCCGUCCGCGUGCCAUUUCUAAUGGAAUAUUUUCUAAAUGAAUAAAUAAAAUGAAAUUAUUCUGCUUGGAAAAAAAAUGAAUGUAUAAAACAUAUAACUCACUCAGGCGACUCAUAUAGAACAUUCAUCUUCAGAAUUGAAAUUUUCUGUUUCAUCUUCGACAUAACUCUCACUCUCUUCAUGUAAAGUGGGGUCAGGUGCGAAUGAAACAACAUCAAACGAGCCAUCUACAUUUAGAGAUACAUUAUCAAUGUUAUUAUCAUCAAGAAGAUUUAAAGGGAACUCAUUAAAGUCAUCUUGAUAUGUAUCUCCCUCUUCCUCUGGAAUGUCAAAACGAUCUCUAGCUUUUGUUCGGAUGACAGUUUGCCAAUCUUUAUUCUUUUGGGAGACAUUUGGUGCGUAGAAAACUUGCUCUGCUUGUUGAGAUAGAACAAAGGGUUCAUAUGCUCUAAGUUUAGUAUGUAUGUUGAUCGAUACAUUUUUCGAACGGUCAAUUUUCAUUCCUUUGUGGAUGUCGUACCAAUCACAUUUGAACAUAACUAACUACUCGAGUCAUAUCGCCAAGGAAAUCCAUUUCUUUAGUAAAAAUAUGGUACGACUUCAUCACAAUUAAGUAGUAGAUAUGUAAUUGAAGCAAGGUACUCUUUGUCAUCUAAGUAUCGUUUUUUACCACCACCAAGAGCACAACCAGGUUGUGAAAAUAUGGAUAAACGACCGACCGGUUCAACUAUACCUCCAUCAAAGUUUCGAGAUUUCUUAUUAUAUUUUGUUUGAAAGUUAUCAUCGAAAUACAUUGAAGUAAAGUUCCCUAUUUCUUCAGCAAUAUAUGCUUCAGCAAUGGACCCUUCAACGAAAGUCUUGUUUCGUACUUUUUUCUUUAAAAAAUACAUAAACCUGAAGAUAGAUAAUCUCAUUUAAAAUUUUAUAAUAAACAUUAUUUAGAAAAUUUAUUUUGUAUAAUUUACCUCUCAUACGGGUACAUCCAUCUGUAUUGUACGGGUCCACCGACUUGUGCCUCAUACGGAAGAUGUAUCAACAUAUGCUCCAUUGAAUCAAAAAAAGGAGGAAAAAUCUUCUCUAAUCUACACAUAGUCUCGACAAUGGAUUUUCCAAGUGCUCUCAUUUCAGAUUCUUUCAAAGUAGGGGAACAAAUUUUACUAAAGAAAUGGCUAACUUCUGUUAAUACUUCAUUAAUUUCUUUAGGUAACAAAUCGAUGAAAGCAAUUGAUAAUAAUCUUUGCAUGAACACAUGACAGUCAUGAGACUUCAUACCUGAGAAUUUGCAAUUUUCGACGCUUGCACAUCUAGAUAUAUUUGAAACAUAACCAUCAGGGAAACGCAAUGUCUUCACCCAUUCACAAACUUUCUUGAUUUGGUCCUUCUCAAGAGCAUAAGAGGCCUUGGGAAUAAGUAUUUUGUCGUCACAAAUUUGUGGGUGCAAGCUAUGUCUAAUACGCAUAUCCUGAAGGUCUUUCCGAGCAUUUAAAUGGUCUUUGGUCUUGCCUUUGACAUUCAUAACUGUAUUGAAGAUGUUAUCAAAAACAUUUUUCUCAACAUGCAUGACAUCCACAUUAUGACGUAUUAAUAAUGAACUCCAAUAAGGUAAUUCAAAAAAAAUACUUCUCUUUGUCCAAUUAUGUGUUUUCCCGAAAUUGGAUUCUUUGACCUUGUGCGACAAUCCAAAAAUCACUUCAUCCGGAGAAAGGAUGUGAGAUUCUAAUUCAUAUCCUGUAAGGCGUUCAAUCGUAACAUCUUUUUCAAUCCUUCUACUAAAUUUAUCCUUCUGUCGCCGAUAUUGAUGAUUUGCCGAAAGAAAUUGACGAUGACAAUCAAAGAAACAUAUCUUUCUACUAUUUUUGAGAUAAAAUGCUUUGUUGUUUCCCAUACAAUAUGGGCAUGCUAAUUUUCCAUGAGUACUCCAACCGGACAACAUUGCAUAAGCUGGGAAGUCUGAAAUAGUCCACAAAAGUGCCGCUUUCAUUAAGAAAUUUUGUUUUUUAAAUGCAUCGUAUGUCUCAAUCCCGUCAUUCCAUAAAAUUUUCAAUUCAUCAAUCAAAGGGGAUAGAUAAAUGUCAAUUUCUUUCUUUGGACUGUGAGGACCGGGGAUCAAAAUAGUCAAGAACAUGAAUGGUUGUGUGUUGCAUAUCCACGGUGGAAGGUUGUAUGGGGUAACGAUAACUGGCCAACAUGAGUACGGCACGCUCGAAUGACCAAAUGGAUUAAAUCCAUCAGUGGACAAACCAAGUCUCACAUUUUGAAUAUCUGCGGCAAAACUUUCGUGAGUGCGAUCAAAAUAUUUCCAAGCUUCACCAUCGGCUGAAUGUCUAACUUCAUUGGCGAUAUCUUUCCGACAUUGACUGUGCCAAAUCAUUUCCUUUGCAGUAUUUGAACAGUGGUAUAACCGUUGAAGUCUGGGUAUCAAAGGAAAGUAUCUUAAAAUUUUAAAUGGUAUUUUCCGACCAGUAGAAGUUAUUGUCUUGUACCUAGGGUGUCUGCAUGUCGGACACUCAGUUAUGUUUUGAUGGUCCUUGCGUAUAAGAUGCAGUUAUUCUGACAUGCAUCUAUUUUUUCAUAUUUCAUCCCAAGUUUAUUCAAUUUUUACUUUAUUUUAUAAUACGAAUUUGGAAGAUUAUUCACUUCUGGUAAGGAUGAACCCCAUAAUUCCAAAAUUGUAUCAAUGGCAACUUCAGGUAUUCCAUAUGUUGAUUUGAUGCACAUAAUUUUUGACAAUACCUCUAGAGUUUUAACUUUACAUCCAUCAUACAAUUUCUGAUUUGCACUCUCUAACAAAUUGUAAAUAUUUUGGACAUCAACAUUGGGUAAUUCAGUACGAUGGUCAUCGAUAACGAAGGGUCUACUUGCAUCAUGAACUAUAUUGACUAUUGGAUUGUUACUGCUAGAUCCAACUUCAAAGGUAGUAUGGUUGUAUUCUUCGAAAAUUUCUAUCCGUGCUUUUUUUCUUGAGCUAUCGAUUUCACCAUGUUGAUGCCAAAUAGAAUAAUCAGCCAUGAACCCGUUUUUGUAAAGGUGAAUACCCACUUCAUCUAUCGAAAAAUAAAAUGAACAACAACAGGUAAAGCAAGGGCACUUUAUUCUUUCACAUCCAAGUGUUUCUCUUGCACAUUUCAAGAAAUGAGGGACGCCAUUGCCAAAUUCCACCGUUAGAUGACCUUUUGAAUCUUGCCGGUUAUACAUCCAAGUUCGAUCAUCAUUGGUCAUUCUAAGAAUUUUAAACCAAUACAAUUAGUUUUUAAACCAAUACAAUUUUAAAGCUAAGGAUUUUCCCAUGGAAUUAAUAAAAUAUCCAAUAAAACAACAUGGGAAUUAAUCUAGCUUAAUUUACUAUAUAGAUAUUUUAAUGGAAUUUUAGAUAUUUUAUACUAUAUAGUUGACUAUCUAGGAGUCUAUUUUCAUUUAGGAUGUCUAGAGUAUAUUUUCUUUGGGAUAGAAAGAUCCCAUGAUCUGAAUAUGACACUUCAAUCCCUAGAAAAUAAUAAAGUAUUCCUAGGUGGAAGAGAUACUAAGUCCCAUGUUUUAAUCAAUAUUAAGGCUUGCAUCUCUUUUUCCAUGGCUUCUACCCAAUUUGGGUUUUUUAAACCUUCUACAUAACUAUGAGGUUCAUUACUCAUAGAUAUUUUUCUUAAAUAUUCUUUUAUCUUUGUAUUUAUCUUUUUUUAUGAUAUAUAUUUGUUUAAUGGAUGAUUAGUAUCUAUUAUAUUUGAUUGCAUCUCAUUUUGAGCUGUUUUUUCAAUUAUUUUGUUUCAUAUCUGCUUAUUUGUUUGAAUAUAUUCAUUAGAUAUAUUUUCAGGACUUUCUAUUUCAAGCUCUUGUAUAUCUGCUUAUUGUCUGAGUCUGAGUCUGAGUUUGUUUUGUUUGAAAAUGAUUUUUCAUUUUCUAUUGAGUUUGAUGACUCAGGGGAGUUCUCCCUGUCUGAACUAAAGUCUGAAAUUUUAUUGCUAUCUAUGUUUGAGUUUUCUCCUAGAUUUAUUGACCCAGGGGAAGCACUGUUUCUGUUUGAAAUUAGGUUUUAAUUUCCUCCUGAGUUUGGAUAUAUUAAUUUCUACUGUUUAGAUUUGCUAUAACAUCCUCACUUGGAUUUGAUAAUCCAGUGGAAAUCUUACUGUUGUUUAUGCAUUUUUCACUUCGGUUUGUUGACCCAAGAUGUGUUUUACUGCUAUUUGAUACUAAUAUAGUAUCCUCAUUGAUCCUUGCCUUAUUUGGCAUUUCAUUUCCAGUAUUUGAUGAUAUAUAUCUCAAAGAAUUAUAUUUAGAUAAUUUUUGUUUGGUUAUAAUUUCAUCAUCUAAAACUAGUUCAAAAUUAUGGGAAUUAAUCUAUCCAAUAAAAUAAUAAUAGGAAUCUUAAUACUAUAUUAAUUUACUUUAAAGAUUAGUCAUGGUACUAUCAGUCAUGAACAUGAUAUCUCCAAAUCAGUGUGCAUUUGUGAAAGGUAGAAAUAUAUCAGAUAACCCUAAUCUUCAAGAGAAAGUUUUGAGCAGAAAUCUACUCCUAAAAGAGGAUCGGAGCUUGCCUUGCAGUGGAUUUGAGAAAAGCAUUUGACUGACUAAGUUGGAAUGCUAUUUACUAAAUGCUAUAGGGGAUGAGGUUUUCAAAUGAGUUCAACACAUGAUAAUGAAAUGUAUUACUUCAGCAAUAUUCUCUAUUCUAUUGCAAAAUCAACCAACUAAACAAUUUAGGGCCGAGAGGGGGGGUAUGAGGCAAGGAGACCCUCUCUCUCUAAUAUUAUUUAAAUUGGUGAUGGAGGGAAUAUCACAAAGGUUCCAUGCAUGGAGCAGAGCAAAGACGGGAGAUUCACAACUACACUAUGGGAGGAGCUAAAUCUAUAUCACAUCUUAUUUUUGUUGAUGACUUUUUGUGCUUCUGUAAAACAAACAAUCAGUUCUUAUAAACGAUAGAAAUUGUAUUUUGCACUAUUUUUCUUAAUUUUCAGGUCUAUCUCCAAUUCCAGAAGAAGAANNNNNNNNNNNNNNNNNNNNNNNNNNNNNNNNNNNNNNNNNNNNNNNNNNNNNNNNNNNNNNNNNNNNNNNNNNNNNNNNNNNNNNNNNNNNNNNNNNNNUAUUGGGGAAAAUAAACAGUAUUGGGGAAAUAAACGGAUAGGAACUCUGACCUGGAAGUUGCCGGAAUGGACAGAAACGCUCUUGCCGGUCGCCGUUCGCCGAUUGUCAGAAGUUGAAAUCGCCACUGGUCAGAAACGAGAAACGAGAAACGAGAGUGGGAGAAAAACUUAGGUAAAUUUUAGGGGUUUUGCGUUUUGGUUUUAUUUCAAGGUUUUGGUUUUAUUUAACUUAGAUUUUAUUUACAAUUUUCAAUUUAGAUUUUAGGGGUUUUGGUUUUGAAAUUUUUAUAAUUUUAGACUAACACUAUCUUUAAUUAAAUUGGAGUGUAAAUUUUUAUAACUGUAACACUAAACUUACUAUUAGGAAUUGANNNNNNNNNNNNNNNNNNNNNNNNNNNNNNNNNNNNNNNNNNNNNNNNNNNNNNNNNNNNNNNNNNNNNNNNNNNNNNNNNNNNNNNNNNNNNNNNNNNNUAUAACUUCAAAUAACUUUUUUAAUUUUUAACUUUAAAAUUUAAAAUAUCUAAAAUAACUUUAAUUUAUAACUUUUCUAUUUUUUUAAUUUAAAAUAAACUUAUUUUAUCAGUUUUAAAAUAUCUAAUUUAUUAAAUUGAAUUUUAGAAUUUAAAAAUUAAUAUUUAUUAAAUUAGACUAACCCUAACCUACUAAAGUUAAUAUUAGAAAUUGAUAUUUUUAUAUUUUUUAUAAUUUAAAUAAACUACUAACCCUAACUCUAAUCCUAACCUACUUAAUUUUAUAAUUUAAAAUAGCUUGAUAUUAAAUUUAAAUUGAUAUUUAUAAUUUAAAAAUAUUAGAAAUUGAUAUUUUUAUAUUAGAAAUUUAAAUUGAUAUUAAAUUAGACUAACCCUAACCCUAACCUACUUUUAUAAUUUAAAAUAACUUUUACAAUACUUGAAUUUGUAACAUUANNNNNNNNNNNNNNNNNNNNNNNNNNNNNNNNNNNNNNNNNNNNNNNNNNNNNNNNNNNNNNNNNNNNNNNNNNNNNNNNNNNNNNNNNNNNNNNNNNNNUUUAUAAUUUAAAUUUUUAUAGUUAUCUAAUUAUAAUCUAACUUUAAAUUUUUUAUGAUUUAUAAUAUCUAAAAAACUAUAAUCUAACUUCUUCUAACCCUAACUUCUACUUCUAACUCUUACUUUUAACCCUAAUUUCUAACCCUAACACUAUCUAAAUAUGUAUAUAUACUUAUUUUUACUAAUUUUUGUUAAUUUCUAUUAAUCCUAAUCCUAACCCUAACCCUAACCCUAAAUAUUUAGAUUUACAUUAACCCUAACCCUAAUUAUUUACAUUUACAUUAACCCUAACCCUAUUAUCAUUAUUAGCCAGGGCUAAAUGCCGUGGCUAAUAUCAGUGGCUAAUUUACUGACAAAUAAAUUAGCCACGGCUCCUAAAUCCGUGGCCAAAUCCGUGGCUAAAUUUCAGUGGAAAUUGGAGGGAAAUUUUGCCGCAAAUUUUAGCCACGGAUUUUAAGAGCCGUGGCUAAAUAUUCAAUGAAAAAUUGGAGGGAAAUUUGCCGGGAAAAUUAGCCACGGGAUUAGCCACGGAUUUUUGAAUCCGUGGCUAAAUAUAAAGAUUAGCCACGGGCUUAGCCACGGCUUCUGCUGGCCGUGGCUAAUCCCGUGGCUAAUCUUUAUAUUCAAUGUUUAACUAGAGAUAUGAAUUGUGAUUUUAUAUUGAAUGAAUUUGGUUUUAUGGCUAAGGACAAGAAGACGGGGAAGAUUUUUCUGAAUGGCAGUAGUGCCGGGGGUCUUUAUCAUCUGAAGCCGGGAUUUCAAGUCAAAGCUGCUGGAUUUUAUGCUUCUAGUCUACUAGCAUCCACUAGUGUAGCAGAUUGUGUCGCGUUAAUAGCACUAUAUUAGAAAAAUUAUAAGCUAGGACUUAUAAUUUCAAAUUAGAUGAAUGUAAUAAGAUUGUGAAAUUUGUUCUAUGAAUAAAUUGCAUAAGUUUCCUUUUCAAAGAAGGAAAAUAUAUUGUAGAGAACCCCUUGGUAUUAUUCAUACUGAUGUAUGUGGCCCUGCUCCAAUUAAUUCCAUAACUGGUUUUAGGUAUUAUCUUAUUUUAUUUGAUGAAUUCAGCCGAUAUACAUGGGUAUAUCCUUUGAAAAAUAAAUAGAAAGUGUUAGAAAAAUUUAAACUUUUUCAUAAAAUGGUAGAAAACAUGCUAAAUAAUAAAAUAAAAAUUAUACAGUCUGAUUCAGGAGGAGAAUUCUUGAAUAACAAAUUUCAACAAUACACACAACAGUGUGGUAUUGUUCAGAGAUUUUCAUCUCCCUAUACCCCUAAACAAAUGGGAAUAGCUGAAAGAAAGCAUCGACAUCUUAUUGAGACAGUUAGAUGUUUGUUACAUAAGUCUAAAGUACCUAAGAUUUAUUGGGUAAAGCUACUCUAAUGGCUAUUUUUACUAUUAAUAGGAUUCCUUCUCCAAUUACUAAAGGAAAAUCACCUUUUGAGUUGCUAUUUGAUAGAAGUCCAUAUUACAAUUAUUUGAGGGUAUUAAUUUGGAACUCUUUGCUUCCCAUUACUACCUAAAAUCAAAAGAGAUAAGUUCUCUCCUAAGGCUGUAGAUGUUGUUUUCUUGGAUAUUCUCUAAGUCAUAGAGGGUAUAGAUGUCUGAAUUUAGAAAAUAAUCAAGUAAUAGUAUCUAGGCAUGUCAAAUUUCACGAGAAUGUUUUUCCCUUUCAUACUUUGUAGAAAACAUUAACUAAAAAUGAGGUUAAAGAUGAAGAUUUGUUUUUCAAAGUUGAUGUCAUUUUACCUAAGGUUAGAACUAGAGAUAAUAUAAUCUCUAAUUCUGAAAUUAAUCCAAGCCAAGAAACAAUUAAUCCUAGUUUAAGUCAGAAUUUCAUUUCUGAACAUAAUUCAGGUUUAAAUCAGGACUUAAAUUCCUCCCCUAGUCAAUCUGAUCAGUCUAGUGAAUAAAGUCAAGGUAGUCAACCUAGUCUAGUUAGUCAACCUAGACAAGCAGAUCAACUUAAUCAAGAUGGUCAAUCAAGUCAAGAAAAUCAGUUUCACCAAACUAGUCAAUCUAGUGAUCAAAUGAUAAGUUCUAAGGCUGGACCAAGUAUUAGACAGAUAAGUAAAAGAGUUAAUACUGAUUCAACUGAGCAAUUAAGAAGGGGAAAAAGACUGAAGUCAACUCCAGUUGAUUUGGUUAAGAAUUAUAGAUUUGUAUAUCUUUUACCUGAGGCUUUAAUUACUGAGGUAACUGAUCCAAGUCUAAAGGAGCCAAAGAACUUUAAAGAAGCUGUAAAGAUAGAGAUUUGGAAUGAAGCAAUGAAAGAAGAAUUCAAAGCCUUAGAAUUAAACAAGACAUGGGAAUUGGUCCCAUUUAAUAAAUCAAUGAAUUUAGUAGGUUGUAAAUGGGUAUAUAAGAUAAAAAAGAAGAGUGAUGGUUCUAUAGAAAGACAUAAGGCAAUUAAGGUUGGUAGCACAAGGAUAUAUAUAAACAAGUAGAAGGGGUUGAUUAUAAUUUGGUAUAUAGUUCAGUGGUAAAAUCACCCACUAUUAGAAUGGUGCUAUCUAUAGUGGUAACUAAGGAACUAGUAUUAAGACAAUUGGAUGUAAAAAAUGCUUUCUUGCAAGGAGAGCUCUCUGAACUAGUAUACAUGAAACAACCUAUUGGGUUUGAAGAUAAGAGAUACCCUAAUCAUGUGUGCAAAUUGAAAAAGGUCAUUUAUGGUUUAAAACAGGCACCAAGGGCUUGGUAUACUAGACUGAGUAAGUUUUUGGUAGAUAUCACUACAAGAAAACAGGGAAACAGCCACGGCCAAGUUCACUGGCAAAUGGCAAAAUCCGUGGCUAAAUUGAUUUAGCCACGGGAAUUAGCCACGGGAGGUGCCGUGGCUGUAGGUCUGGUGGCUACUGAUUUUUUGCCACGGAAAUGGUUUUCCGUGGCUAAAUAUUAGCCACGGCCAUUUAUUUUAGCCACGGCUAUGGGCCGUGGCUAAUGUUAAAAAUUAGCCACGGCAUAAUUCAGUGGCUAAUGUUAAAAAAAUUAGCCACGGCAUAAUUCAGUGGCUAAUUUUAUUUUGCCGUGGCCACGGAUUUUGGCCGUGGCUAAUCCUUAAAUAGCCGUGGCUAAAUCCUUGAAACAGAAUUGAAAGUGAAGGGCCACGGCUGUAAUCCGUGGCUAAUUCUUUAUUGGCCGUGGCUAAAUCCUUGAAACAGAGUGGAAAGUAAAGGGCCAUGGCCAAAAUCCGUGGCUAAAUGCCAAAAGGCCGUGGCUAAUUUCCAAAAUAAUUAUAGGAAAUAUUUACAUUUUAGAAUACGCCUAUUGAAGGUCUUACACAUUCAUAUAACCUGAAAAAAUCAAUCAAACAUAUAUUUACAUUCAUAUUCCAUUUAUACACAUUCCAUUCAUAUACAAAUAUCCCUCAAAAUUAUCUAAAACAUUCAUUACAUUUAUAUUCCAUACCUAUAACAAAACAUACCAUUCCAAAACAUUCAAUAACCAAUAAAACAUAUCAUUCCAUUCCAAAACAUUCAAUAACCAAUAAAAUAUAUCAUUCCAUUCCAAAACGUAACAUUCAAUUAAUAAGCAACAAAACAUACCAUUCAUACAAUUCAUGUUAUUCAAAACUAAACCAAAAGAUAAAAGAAGAGGAACCUAUUUGUUGGUGUUUGUCACGCUAUUCGUCGCACUUUUACUCGGACUUUUAGUCGGACUUUUAGUCGCUUUUUUGCCAACAUUUUCGACAUUUGAAUCUCUUGUAGUAGGCGUGAUUAUGUUGUCGUGUCCUUGGCUCGACUGACCCUAAUGUAAAAAAAAAUUGAAAUUAGAAAGAAAAUAUGAAUAUUGAUUUAUAUAUAAAUGCUAAUUACCUCAAUCGUCUCUCGACGUAAGUCUUCCCUUAGUUCCUUUAGUAUAUCCGGCAUCUGUUUUCUAAUGGCCUCUUGAACUGCCCGAUCAAAGUCUUCUUUACUUUUUUUGUUGUUGAAUUUCUAUAUAAUUCGUCGUUGUGUUCUGUGAAGUCGCCAUAUUAUCAGGAAUUGGUAAUGUCAUUGGAUCACUUGCUCUGGUUCCAAGCACACGACCUUUGUUUUUUCCGUUAGUAGCUUUGACCCAUAAUUCUAAAUUAUCAGGGAGUGUGUGUGAUCCAUUAGAUGAGUUGAUCUCAGAAUUUUCUGCUUCCAUAGCAUUUCUUUGAAGCUCAUUAUAGUCAGCCUAUAAAAAUGAAAAUCAAUAAUAAAUAAAAAAUAUGACUUAAAUAUCUUAAAACGAAGCAUUUCUAACGAAUUUUCUUACAAUGAAGCAUCCUCCCUUUGGAUGAGCC
rnacentral:lncRNA from 1 species